UGGGGAAUAUUGGACAAUGGGGGCAACCCUGAUCCAGCCAUGCCGCGUGAGUGAUGAAGGCCUUAGGGUUGUAAAGCUCUUUUACCAGGGAAGAUAAUGACUGUACCUGGAGAAUAAGCCCCGGCUAACUUCGUGCCAGCAGCCGCGGUAAUACGAAGGGGGCUAGCGUUGUUCGGAAUCACUGGGCGUAAAGCGCAUGUAGGCGGGCUAUUAAGUCGGGGGUGAAAUCCCAGGGCUCAACCCUGGAACUGCCUUCGAUACUGAUGGUCUCGAGUAUGGAAGAGGUUGGUGGAACUGCGAGUGUAGAGGUGAAAUUCGUAGAUAUUCGCAAGAACACCGGUGGCGAAGGCGGCCAACUGGUCCAUUACUGACGCUGAGAUGCGAAAGCGUGGGGAGCAAACAGGAUUAGAUACCCCUGUAGUCC
rnacentral:rRNA from 1 species